rnacentral:rRNA from 1 species
CCAAUAGCGUAUAUUAAAGUUGUUGCAGUUAAAAAGCUCGUAGUUGAAUUUCGGGAUCAGUACGCUGGUCGUGCCUUCGGUAUGUACUGGUGUCACUGAUUCCUCCCUUCUGACGAACCGUUAUGCCAUUUAUUUGGUGUGGCGGGGAAUCAGGACUGUUACUUUGAAAAAAUUAGAGUGUUUAAAACAGGCUCGCGCUUGGAUACAUUAGCAUGGAAUAAUGAAAUAGGACGUUUGAUUCUAUUUUGUUGGUUUCUAGGAUCGACGUAAUGAUUAAUAGGGAUAGUUGGGGGCAUUAGUAUUCAAUUGUCAGAGGUGAAAUUCUUGGAUUUAUUGAAGACUAACUACUGCGAAAGCAUUUGCCAAGGAUGUUUUCAUUAAUCAAGAACGAAAGUUAGGGGAUCGAAGACGAUCAGAUACCGUCGUAGUCUUAACCAUAAACUAUGCCGACUAGGGAUCGGAUGAUGUUAAUUUUUUAAUGACUCAUUCGGCGCCUUACGG